rnacentral:rRNA from 1 species
GACGAACGCUGGCGGCGUGCUUAACACAUGCAAGUCGAACGGAAAGGCCCUGCUUUUGUGGGGUGCUCGAGUGGCGAACGGGUGAGUAACAUGUGAGUAACCUGCCCUUGACUUUGGGAUAACUUCAGGAAACUGGGGCUAAUACCGGAUAGGAGCUCCUGCUGCAUGGUGGGGGUUGGAAAGUUUCGGCGGUUGGGGAUGGACUCGCGGCUUAUCAGCUUGUUGGUGGGGUAGUGGCUUACCAAGGCUUUGACGGGUAGCCGGCCUGAGAGGGUGACCGGCCACAUUGGGACUGAGAUACGGCCCAGACUCCUACGGGAGGCAGCAGUGGGGAAUAUUGCACAAUGGGCGGAAGCCUGAUGCAGCAACGCCGCGUGCGGGAUGACGGCCUUCGGGUUGUAAACCGCUUUCGCCUGUGACGAAGCGUGAGUGACGGUAAUGGUAAAGAAGCACCGGCUAACUACGUG